ACAACAGUUAACAACUUUAAUCUUAUACAUUAACUUUAGUUAUAACUUAAUUAUUAAUGAUUUGAUUUAUAGAUUUUUAAAGCAAUACAAGAUUAAACUUAGCAGAAGGCUAAACAUCUGCUCUGGAGAAAAAAAAGGAAGACAGCGAAAAUGACAAAGAGACAAAAAGUUGUGUAAAAAUCUUGGUGUUGAUGAUUUAUCCUCAAUUUCUUAUAAUAAAACAAAAAAUAUUAUUAAACUUUGGGAUUUACCUGUAACUCAAAACUCUUUACAGAAGUUCAAUGUUUGCUCUGAGAAGUUGAAUGAACAAAAUUUAUUAAAUGUGUUCAUUCUUAGUCGUCAUUGAAGUACAACUUGGUAAACUACAAAACACAUCAAAUUCAGUUAUAAAAAUUUGAGUAACAAAGGUAUGCUAAUUAUUGUAUUGCCUGAAAGAGUGUCAUUGCAGUUAAGAAUUCAAGUACUCUGGAAGAAAAGAAAAUACGUAAGUAAAUGGUUGUGUAUUUAUGCAGGUCAAUUAUUUAGCACAAAUUGGAGUUAAAGACAAAGGAGAUUGUAUAUUUUAUUUGCUAAGAAUAGUUUUUUAAAAUGGCCUAGUUGUAAAAUUAAACUAUGCAGGGAGAGGACAAAAAAUUGGAAUAGAAAAAAUGUUGAU